CAGCCGCCGCGGUAAUACGAAGGGUGCAAGCGUUACUCGGAAUUACUGGGCGUAAAGCGUGCGUAGGUGGUGGUUUAAGUCCGUUGUGAAAGCCCUGGGCUCAACCUGGGAAUUGCAGUGGAUACUGGGUCACUAGAGUGUGGUAGAGGAUAGUGGAAUUUCCGGUGUAGCAGUGAAAUGCGUAGAGAUCGGAAGGAGCAUCUGUGGCGAAGGCGACUAUCUGGGCCAACACUGACACUGAGGCACGAAAGCGUGGGGAGCAAACAGGAUUAGAUACCCCUGUAGUCCCUGUCUCUUAUAC
rnacentral:rRNA from 1 species